UCGAGCUUCUCAACUAAAACUGUCAAAUAGGUCGGCUAAUCAUCGGUCAUCCGUGUCUAAACUAAAAUCCUACUAUAUAAAAGAGACUAUUUUAAGAGCUUCUAAGAAGUGCCACAUGGGCAGAAAUAUUCUUCACCAAUCAAUUUGCCAGGUCAUCGGAAAUCAUCCGAGUAACCAAAUCACGUCACGUCAGCUUCGCUAAAAAAUUCCCUUCUACGAGUUUGCUCAUAAAAUUAUUGGCCCGAUCCUAAUAAACUAUCGACGUUAUUGCUUGGGCUGAUUGGGCCCAUUAUCUUUCUCCUACCCCUUCCAACAAUAUGUCGUCGUCGCGUAACUGUAAACCUAAAUUCCAGGACUCUGUAAAUCGCCUUCGUAACGGAGCAUCAAUUAAUGGACUUAAUGAUCAUUAAACCAUUCUUCCCACUAAUUUUCUUUCAGUUCCCCUUCCUCUUUAUCCACGGGUAUUUUGAUAACCAACUCCUAUAAAUAGGAACGUCGUCUUCUUGCAACCCAUCCCUCUCUCCACCUCAUUCCUUAAUCUCGCUGUUAAAUUCAUGCUCAACAAUGGCUAUCUCCUACCUCCUCUUCUCCGACUUGAAAUCUAGCGUUGUGCUAAGAUCGUUGAUGCACAUGUUCUUGGCUUUUGGGAGGCUUAGAUCUUGGGAGUGGACAUGCUGCUCUUAGAUGAAAAGGUAACCAUAGUUAAAAUCCUUCGUCUCUGAUUUCUGUUUUGACUACCUGAAAAUCAGCAGCCGUACAUUCAUCUUGAUUUCACUUUCUCAAACAGUCCACGACUCAUCCAAGGUUCCAUUAACCACAUUGCCUAAGCAACCUCACAAGGAGAAACCAUAACGUCAGACUAAUAUUGUGUACAUGGAGAUAUUCAACCAGGAGAUGCAGCAACUCUUUCUACUAUGGAGAGCUAGAACUAUGGCAGCGAAUAGUAGCUCAAACCACUCGCAUUUUUGUGAGAAUUGCAAGUAUGUCUUCCUGAAUGUUUAGUAGAAUGGUGUACUAUACAUUAAAUACGAGAAAACCAUAUAUCUUAUUUAGUUAACUAAGGUUAAAUGGAGGUAUAAGGUAAGGAUAUCAUUUUCGAAACAGUAGAGCUAAUACAAAUAAUCCAGUGAAAACAUGCUGUCAGAAUGUUUAUUCUCAUGUAUAAUAUAACUUAAUCCCUCAUUUUGGCAUAUUUGCUACCAACAUACUUUUGAUUUGAAUAGGCAAGAAGCAUUUCCAGAAUCCUGUGAUACAACAUAGAAAGUCCAAGAAGUCCUUAGAGGUUAUGAUCUUAUAUAUAAAGGCUUUUUGCAUCAGUGAUGCUCUCCAAAGUGAACCUACAUAAAAUUAACCAAAUGACUGUUCCUACGAGGAUAUUUCAGUCAGUAGCUUUGAUUGUGCAGAGCAGUCUUUAUUUCAUAUAACACCAAUGUUGUUUAGCGUGUACAAAAUAUUUCUCUUCACAAGGCAAUGUGUAGAUAUUAACAAUUAAAGAAUUUUCUCUCUUUGUGAUGGAACA